GGAAGUGAUAAAUAUUUGCCCUAUUAAAAAAACACAACCAAAACCGUCACUUCAACAAAACAACAGGAAGUUAUCAUUACAAGAUUUACAAUCGGACACUCCUUCACAAUUCACUCUUUUUUCAUCAGAAAAAAAUUCUCCACGGCUUCAACCACAUACUAUUAAUGCCGAGCUGACCAUCCAUUAUAUUUUUCAAAAUUGUGUGAAAUAUCAGGAAAUACGGAUCUCUAUACCACUGAACAUGAAUGUAGCCCUCAACAAAAAUAACAC